UACCGUGGUGUACAUGAAUAUGGGAAGAAGAUUGCUGUCAAGAUGUUCCACGACGACACGCCAACACAUGCUGAUGGUGGUCAUGAGCAAUUCCAGAAGGUGUUCUGCAACCUCAAGAGGCUCCGACACCAGAACAUCGUGCGGUUGCUUGGGUACUGCUAUGAAACGCAGCAAAAACACAUGGAAUAUGAGGGGAGAAAGAUUUUCUGUGAAAAGACACAAAGAGCGCUCAGUUCCGAGUAUAUGCACAACGGAGACCUUGACAAGUAUCUUCUUUCUGAUAAAUACAAAGGAGAUACUUGGCAGACAUGCUACGGAAUGAUUAAGGGGAUUUGCAAGGGUUUGAAAUACCUUCACGAGGACUUGGAAUCUCCUAUUUAUCAUUUGGAUCUAAAGCCAUCCAAUGUGUUGCUGGAUGAGAAGCUUGUGCCGAAGCUCGCGGAUUACGGCUUGUCAAGGCUAUCUGGAGAUGAGCAGACACAAAUCAUGAAAUGUUUCAUGGGAACAAUUGGGCACGUGCCACCAGAAUACAUAGAUGAGAAUGUAAUCUCAAAUAAAUUCGACAUAUUCAGCUUGGGGGCUAUCAUCAUAAAGAUACUUGCAGGACCGAUGAGUUACUCAAAACGUGCCGAGAUGUCCACCCAGCAAUUCGUUGAGCUUGUACAUGGAAAUUGGAGGGAUAAGCUCCACGCUACAUCAACAUAUGCAUUGGAGGUAUAUUCUGAGCAAGUAAGGAGCUGCAUAGAAAUAGCUUUAAGUUGUGUAGACGCCGACCAAUGCAAAAGGCCGAGCAUUGGAGAAAUCAUUGAUAAGUUAAUUCAGAUGGAGACUAGGAUUCACAAAAUGACCCAAUCUCCAGGAACAUCAAUGGAUCAGAUGGGCUCCUGCUUGCUGGAUGCAUCUGAAAAGAGAGGAAGAGAGUUGUUAGGUGUCCAUCCCCUCCAGCUCCGGUUCCCCUUUGAACCGAAUAAGUUGAUCCCCUACCAACUUAAUCUAACGAACAACUCAGAUGAGUAUGUCGACUUUAGGUGUGUCCCAAAAAAACCCAAGAGUUUCUUGAAUGGACUGUCGCGGCUCCAUGGAAGCAUGCCGCCAAACACCAGUUGCAUAUACGUUGUAACGAUGGAAAAGCACCAGCAACCACCUGCAAACAUGGACACUCUUGAUGUUAUCCUAGAGAGCUGGGUAGGACAUAGAUACACGUGUGGGUGGGGCAUGGAUGACUACUUCUCUACGGGGCCCAAAGAGGAUCUGAGCGGCUGUCCGGUGCAAAAGGUAACACUGAAGGCUGUUUGUGAGCCAGCAGGCAAGAUGAUGGCAUCUGAGGGGUGGCACUUUGUCGGAAAUACUAUCGAUGGAUGUGCAUCCAACGAAGCCCUGGAGAGGGUGAUGUCGCUGAGACCUGUAAAGGAGCCAGCACCAUGUGCUGGAGACCAUUGGAUGCUUUCUGCUAAAUUCAUCGCGCGGGAGGAAUGGUUCGUGGCCGGCGACAUCCACGUGCUCUCAUCUGCGAUGAUGGAUGAGAUCACGCAGUUCAAAGCUCACACGGGCUGGGUCGAAUCGCUGGCCAUUCACCCGAGUCGCCCGCUUGUGCUGUCGGCAUCCAACGACAGCUUAAUCAAGCUAUGGAACUGGGAGACUGACUGGUCAUGCAUUCAGAUAUUCGAAGCGCACUCACGCAAUGUGCAGCAAAUCAAGUUUAACCCGCUGGAAGGCAACACUUUCGCAAGUGCUUCAAAAGAUGGCACAACAAAGAUUUGCGAUUUGCAGACAAAGAAAUGUAUCCAAGAACUCGAGGGACUCCAACGUAUGUCUGGCGUCAAUGUUGGUGUGAUCGAUGGCAUGCAAGGGCAUCCUGUUCUAAUAACAUCU
rnacentral:rRNA from 1 species